AGUGAACGCUGGCGGUAGGCCUAACACAUGCAAGUCGAACGGCAGCACAGAGGAGCUUGCUCCUUGGGUGGCGAGUGGCGGACGGGUGAGGAAUACAUCGGAAUCUACUCUGUCGUGGGGGAUAACGUAGGGAAACUUACGCUAAUACCGCAUACGACCUACGGGUGAAAGCAGGGGAUCUUCGGACCUUGCGCGAUUGAAUGAGCCGAUGUCGGAUUAGCUAGUUGGCGGGGUAAAGGCCCACCAAGGCGACGAUCCGUAGCUGGUCUGAGAGGAUGAUCAGCUACACUGGAACUGAGACACGGUCCAGACUCCUACGGGAGGCAGCAGUGGGGAAUAUUGGAUAAUGGGCGCAAGCCUGAUCCAGCCAUACCGCGUGGGUGAAGAAGGCCUUCGGGUUGUAAAGCCCUUUUGUUGGGAAAGAAAUCCAGCUGGCUAAUACCCGGUUGGGAUGACGGUACCCAAAGAAUAAGCACCGGCUAACUUCGUGCCAGCCGCCGCCGUAA
rnacentral:rRNA from 1 species